GUGCUCACUUUGGCAGCACAUAUACUAAAAUUGGGAACUAUCAGAAAAGAUUAGCAUGGCCCCUACAAUGAUAUGCAAAUUCACGAAGCAUUCCACAUUUUU
rnacentral:snRNA from 1 species